GUUUAUUCUCUAUAUCUGUGAGUCUGCUUCUUUUUUAUAUUCCACAUAUGUGACAACAUAUAGUAUUUGUACUUCUCUGUCUGACUUAUCUCACUAACAUAAUACUAACUCUACCCGUCAUGUUGCAAAUGGCAGAAUUUCAUUCUUUUUAAUGACUGAGUAGUAUUUCAUUCUUUAUCUUCUUCAUCCAGUCAUCUGUUGAUAGACACAUGUGCAGAGGCUGGCAGGGGACCCGUUUCAGGGGAAAUCGUGAGUUCGGCUUUGGAUAUAUUGAGUUCACUGCAAAGUGGUGGAAAAAAUGCCAUACACGGUGACUUACACAAAGUUCCUGCUACCUUAGGACCAGAGGAGACCCAGGACACCAAGGGUAAUUGGGGCAGCCUCACCAGCUAAGUGCCUCCCUCCUGCUUCUAAGGCUUCCACAUUCUAGAUCUGCAUCUCAGCAAAAUUACAGCACAAAGGACUUGCCCAAACGCCACAGCUAGGAAACUUCAGCCCAGCUUCAAUCUGUGUUAGAUCGCCUUAAGGUGACCCCUGCCCUGGAACUGAAUUCUUGCUCAAGUGGAGCUGACCUGUUUGCGGUGGAGUCUCUCUCCUCUAUGCAGAAGUCUGAAUAAAAUCUGUCUUGCCAUGAGUAAGACAUGUCCAGCUC
ensembl:lncRNA